UUGUUGUUCUUGUGCUCCAUAUGAAAAUUUCUUGUGCUCCAUAUGAAAAUUUCUUGUGCUCCGUAAGGCCAUUUUGGCCGACCGAAGCACCAUCUCGGUCGACCGAAAUGGUGGUGUUUAUGUGUUCUUUCCUUCCUUUCUUUUUUGUAGUUGUUUCCAGCCUUGGGAAAGUUGGUCGGAAUCUCAUUGAUGUUUAAUUUAAGACUUAAUGACGAUGUGUUGACCUAGACUUGGGGGUGUUUAACUUAGGUGACCUCGAUUCGGUUAAGGACCCGUUCGGAUCUUCGGUUUUGAAUCUUUACAUUUACCUACCAUUAUACUAGGUUAAAAUCUUAAAUUAUACGUUGAAUUAUAUAAAAACAAUUUUAUGGUGGUGAUAGCUUUAAGAAAAAGUCUUAUCAGAAAAGUUAUGGAUCACGUGACAGGAUAAAAAGUAUUUUAGAGCAUGUGAUGUGGUGUUUUGACAUAAGUACCAGAGCAAAAAGUUGAUCCCGACUUCAAAAUUUUUAAAAUUGAUCCUGUAAUUUCUAACAUGCUUAAUAUAAUGAAACGGCAUUCCCAAAAUCAUAAAAAUGUUCCGAACGAUCAUCAAGUCUCACGUGACUCGCAAAAUGAGGUACGAAAAAAAUAAUAAAAUAAGAUACUAAAAAUCUAUUGUGAAAGCAUUUGGGCCAUAUUUCCCAACAUCUUCUCUAUUUUUCUCGAACGAGAAGACCCAGUUUUCAAAAGCAAAAAUUGAUGCUGGUUGACACUUGGACGUGUAUCAAAUUAAAGUUGAAGCAUUUGGGAAUAUAUAUGGCCUGUUUGGAAGGUGGUUUUGUUAUUGCUUUGAGUAUAUGAAUUUUGCAUUUUGGGUCAUACCACGUUUGAAGUGGAUUGAUGUAAUAUUAAACAGUAGUAAAACAUUUUAGUAAUAAUGACCCAAAACCAUAUCACCAAAUUGGUGGCAUGGGGUGAUAUGGUCACUGUAGGGCACAAAAACUGAUAUCCAACUUAUACUUCGGAUCACUUACUGUAACGGCAGCCCCAAAAAAAAAAAAUACUGUAGCGGCCAUAACAGGUUUAAAACUCAUAUUUCAGAAACUACCCAUUUGAGGCGAUUUCUCAUUUCUAUCUUCUCGGUUGAGGCGAUUUCUCAUCUGUGGCUCUCAUUUCUCUCUGUUCUCGCAGAUCGUGGUUGUUAGACCACAGAUCUAUCAUUUUUCUCUGCAAAUCUUUCAUAAACCGUACCAUUUUCAUCACGUAUUUGGUUUUCCUAUUGUUUCUCUCUAUUCUCUGCUUGUGCUUGUGUGAUUCGAAUCUAAAACCCUAGUUCUUCGCUCGCGACCACAAAUCGAAGGUAUUUUCCCUGCAAAAGCAUUGGUUUUGCUCUGUUCUCUGCUUUUGUGACCCGAAUCUGAAACCCUAGCUCGGUGGCGACCACAUCGAAGGUAUUUCUUUGGAAAUCUUUAAACAGCCACACCUAUUCGCACUGCCUCCCGUCACGCCGAGGUGGAAGAGGGAGAAAGAGAGCUGGGUGGAGUAUUUCUUGUUUUUCGGGGUUAGAUUGAAGUUUUGGCUCUAACCAUUAUCAAAGGGUCAACCAACAUUAUGCCUCCUCAGUCGUCAGGUUUAUUUGUUGGGAAGAGAAAAAAAGCUCAUGGUGGUGGGAAUGGGUGGAGUUGGCAAAUGAAAGAUGGGAUUGUCCGGACAUGUUUGAAAGGGCUAGAUAAUAUAUUGAAGAGUUGAAGAGUGUGGAUGGCGUCAAUCCUUUGUUCAGUCUUGAAUUUACUGAACAUUGGCUUUUGAAUUUAGUGGGUAUGUUGCCACAAACCUUUUUAUCCUGAUGAGGACUUGAGAAUAGCGGGAGAUUUAAAGAAAAGAUAGUUAUAAAAUAGAUAUUGAGGUAAAAGGAAUAGCAAGCAAUUAUGAGUUUGAUAUUUUAUAUUAUUACUCGUUAGUGGGUAUGUUGCCACAAACUUUUUUAUCCUCGUAUCCUGACGAGGACUUGAGAAUAGCGGUAGAGAGAUUUAAAGAAAAGAUAGUUAUAAAAUCUAUAUUGAAGUAAAAGGAAUAGCAAGCAAUUAUGAGUUUGAUAUUUUAUAUUAUCUGCUUGUUCAUUUUCUUUUUACAGCC